GUCUCCUCUGCUACCCUGCAAAUAGGUUCCUCAGUAUCAUCUUUCUAGAUUCCGUACGUACCACAGUUUGUGUUUAGCUGCGUCAGCUCAGAGAGAAUGUAGUAUGUUCCAGGUGACUCAGCCAUGAAGUUGCACAGCGGAGCUUGGCCCUGGUGGUGCCCUUAAUCAUGGUGGCAUUGCAGGAAGGACGCGCAGAAGCCCCGGCCUGGAGGGAGGCCUGUCACCUCUGCUCAUUCACUCUGCUCGUCUUGGGAGCGAGGUGCUCCUUAUCAGAUCAUCAGAGCCUUAAUUGAUUGAUUGAUUGAAAGAGUUUCCUGCUGAAGAAUGAAUACUAUGAACGAUCUAAUCGUGCAAGAGUCUGCGAGUGCCUGAGACAUACAUUCAAGGUUGAUCUGUAUUCAGUUGCUCAUUUCAUCCAGGAAUCACUUUGAAGCUUCAGUGACCAAUAAAUGAUUUAUUCUG
ensembl:lncRNA